rnacentral:rRNA from 1 species
CGUGCUUAACACAUGCAAGUCGAACGAUGAACCCCGCUUGCGGGGGGAUUAGUGGCGAACGGGUGAGUAACACGUGAGUAACCUGCCCUUAACUCUGGGAUAAGCCUGGGAAACUGGGUCUAAUACCGGAUAUUGACUGCUUGCCGCAUGGUGGGUGGUUGAAAGAUUUAUUGGUUUUGGAUGGACUCGCGGCCUAUCAGCUUGUUGGUGAGGUAAUGGCUCACCAAGGCGACGACGGGUAGCCGGCCUGAGAGGGUGACCGGCCACACUGGGACUGAGACACGGCCCAGACUCCUACGGGAGGCAGCAGUGGGGAAUAUUGCACAAUGGGCGAAAGCCUGAUGCAGCGACGCCGCGUGAGGGAUGACGGCCUUCGGGUUGUAAACCUCUUUCAGUAGGGAACAAGGCCAGUGUUUAGCUGGUUGAGGGUACUUGCAGAAGAAGCGCCGGCUAACUACGUGCCAGCAGCCGCGGUAAUACGUAGGGCGCAAGCGUUAUCCGGAAUUAUUGGGCGUAAAGAGCUCGUAGGCGGUUUGUCGCGUCUGCCGUGAAAGUCCGGGGCUCAACCCCGGAUCUGCGGUGGGUACGGGCAGACUAGAGUGAUGUAGGGGAGACUGGAAUUCCUGGUGUAGCGGUGAAAUGCGCAGAUAUCAGGAGGAACACCGAUGGCGAAGGCAGGUCUCUGGGCAUUAACUGACGCUGAGGAGCGAAAGCAUGGGGAGCGAACAGGAUUAGAUACCCUGGUAGUCCAUGCCGUAAACGUUGGGCACUAGGUGUG